GUCACAGCUCUGUGAAAUAAGCAACCAUGAAGAUUUUGAUUAUCAUCAGUGUGGUGAUGACAGUUCUCCAAGGUGUUCAGUCCCAGGUGUUGACAGAGUCUGAAUCUGCAGUUGUCAAGCCUGGAGGAUCUCACAGACUGACCUGUACAGCCUCAGGAUUCACAUUCAGCAGCUACUGGAUGCAGUGGGUCAGACAGGCUCCUGGGAAAGGGCUGGAGUGGGUGGCUGCUAUUAGCAAUGGUGGUGGCAGCAGCACAUACUACUCCCAGGCUGUCCAGGGAAGAUUCACCAUCUCCAGAGAUGAUUCCAAAAACCAGCUGUACUUACAGAUGAGCAGCCUGAAGACUGAAGACACUGCUGUGUAUUACUGUGCUCGAGACCCACAGUGAGAGAAGUGAAGCAUGAGCCCUGAC